rnacentral:rRNA from 1 species
CAGUUGGCGGGGUAACGGCCCACCAAACCGACGAUGGAUAGGGGUUCUGAGAGGAAGGUCCCCCACAUUGGUACUGAGACACGGACCAAACUCCUACGGGAGGCAGCAGUGAGGAAUAUUGGUCAAUGGCCGAGAGGCUGAACCAGCCAAGUCGCGUGAAGGAUGAAGGAUCUAUGGUUUGUAAACUUCUUUUAUAGGGGAAUAAAGUGUGGGACGUGUCCCAUUUUGUAUGUACCCUAUGAAUAAGCAUCGGCUAACUCCGUGCCAGCAGCCGCGGUAAUACGGAGGAUGCGAGCGUUAUCCGGAUUUAUUGGGUUUAAAGGGUGCGUAGGUGGUAAUUUAAGUCAGCGGUGAAAGUUUGUGGCUCAACCAUAAAAUUGCCGUUGAAACUGGGUUACUUGAGUGUGUUUGAGGUAGGCGGAAUGCGUGGUGUAGCGGUGAAAUGCAUAGAUAUCACGCAGAACUCCAAUUGCGAAGGCAGCUUACUAAACCAUAACUGACACUGAAGCACGAAAGCGUGGGUAUCAAACAGGAUUAGAUACCCUGGUAGUCCACGCAGUAAACGAUGAUUACUAGGAGUUUGCGAUACACAGUAAGCUCUACAGCGAAAGCGUUAAGUA